UACGAAGGGGGCUAGCGUUGCUCGGAUUGACUGGGCGUAAAGGGCGCGUAGGCGGUUUGCUUAGUCAGACGUGAAAUUCCUGGGCUUAACCUGGGGGCUGCGUUUGAUACUGGAUGGCUAGAGGUUGGGAGAGUGAUGCGGAAUUCCAGGUGUAGCGGUGAAAUGCGUAGAUAUCUGGAGGAACACCGGUGGCGAAGGCGGCAUCCUGGACCAAUUCUGACGCUGAGGAGCGAAAGCCAGGGGAGCAAACGGG
rnacentral:rRNA from 1 species